UUAAAUGACUGCAUCGGACAGUUUAAAAAAUAUCAGUCCUCUCUCAGAAAGAAGAAGGGAAGUGGAGAGUUAUCUGAUUCUGAAGUUUCCACCAGUAUUGAAUCUAUUGAUAAUCACAUCAAACUGUUGGAAGAACUUCAGUCCUAUCUCAGAAAGAAGAAGGGAAGUGGAGAGAUCUCUGUGUCUGACGUUUCCACCGCUAUUAAAUCUUUCGAUGACCGCGUCCAACAGAUGGAAGAAUUUCUGUCCUCUUUCAAG